CACAUCAUGUCUUUCCUUACAGAGCCCCACAGGCAGCCCCGUGCAGGCCCUGCCAGUGAGUCCAGGGUUUUAUUUCAAGCCGUCCUUCCCCGUCAAGCUCAUCGCCUGCGUUUGGCCACACACUCGCAGCUCUCCGAGCACAGCUGGUUUUUUCCUCUUUGUUUACUCUUUCAACAAAAGCUGGAUUCUAGACCAAGCUGUUAAGUCCUGGAGAUGCAGAAAGGAACAAGACAAACACAGGCUCAGCCCUCCAAAGCUUUCAGAAACAAGACCGACCACAAAGUGACUGAGCCAGUUAACCCAGGCAAGAGAUCAGUGGCCCGCUGCUGCAAUCAAGAACUCUCGAUGGGCUGUCUGGAAUUUCUAAAUCAGCGCUGCCGAGAGCCCGGCGGAUCAAGCAGGCGGGCUCCCCGGCGGGGGUGAGAAGUGCUCAACUCCAGCAGACGACUGCGAGGCCCUGGGCUCCUGAGAGCAGCCCCCAAAGAUUACAAGUUCAAGGAGAAAAAGAAAUGAUGCAACGUUUCCAACAAUUAGAGCCAAGUUUUUUGCGUGUUUUUUACAUCAGCGAUGGCGGAUGUCAGAUCACUGUGGCACUGAGUUUCCUCUGGACACACCUGAAAAGCAAAUAAUUCUAGAGCGCCGGCUGUGUGCUGUGCCCUCUGCUAGAGACACAUAUCAAUACCUCCCAGUUGUCGGGGAGCCCUCGUUCACACUGAUCUCCUGCGGAAACCCCUCUGGUAUGGUUUGAUUCUCUGCUUCUGGCUUAGAAAGAAGCGACAACUUCCCUUCUCAGCUUUGGAAGACUGGGAAGAGAGCACAGCUCCUCUGCCCACCAUCAGCGCUGCAUGUCCAGAGCCCGGGUCAAGGCCAGGUGCAGGGGACGCACUCAGGAAAUGCGUGAUCAAAGCAAACAGCCAUUUUGGAGAAGUCAGAGGAACUUAUUCUAGAUGGGUCAAGAAAGUCCAUCCAGCGUCAUUGCAGAGCCUCCGCAUCAAGACAAUGAACUUUAGUCCUCAAAGAGGCAUAUUGCAUCUGUCAGGAUACACUUGGUUAUGAGGAAACUGAGGCACAGAAGCAUGAAGUGACUUUCCCAAGGUCACGCACAUGGAAAGUGGUGAGGUCAGGUACAUGAUAGGAUUGACUUUCUUCACCCUGUGGAGCUGGGGGUGGCCACGUGCCCGGCUCUGGCAGGUGGAAAGGGACGGGAAGUGUGUGUGAUCCUCGGGGCGGAUGCCAUGGCAGUCUAGUACACGUUUUGCUUUCUUGUCUUAGUGACACAUUCUAGAUGGUUGAGGAGCUGCCACGGUGGGGGUGUGAGUGAGGGUGUGUGGCACCGAGAUGCCCACUGCCUCGCGGUGGACUUUGACUUAAGCCACUGAGGUCUGGGCUUUUCCCUCGUAUGUUUCUGCAGCGUACCAUCGACGUCAAAGGGAACUUUAACCUCAUUCGAUGUUUUCAUUAUUUUUAAUAAAG
rnacentral:lncRNA from 1 species